GACGAACGCUGGCGGCGUGCUUAACACAUGCAAGUCGAACGGAAAGGCCCUGUUCUUGUGGCGUGCUCGAGUGGCGAACGGGUGAGUAUCACGUGAGUAACCUGCCCUUUUCUUUGGGAUAACUUCAGGGAACUGGGGCGAAUACCGGGCAUGAGCUCCUUCUGCAUGGGGUUGGUGUGUAAGUGUCGGCGUUUGGGCAUGGACUGGCGGUUUAUCAGCGUGUUGGUGGGGUAGUGGCUUACCAAGGCUUUGACGGGAAGCCGGCUUGAGAGGGUGACAGGCCACAUAGGGCCUGAGAUGCCGCCAAGACUGAUUCGGGAGGAAGCAGUGAAAAACAGUGCGAAAUGGGCGGAAGCAUGAUGCAGGAACGCCGGGUGCGGGAUGACGGCCUUCGGGGUAUAAACCGCGUUCGCCUGGAACGAAGAGUGAGUGACGGUAAUGGGUAAAGAAGCAACGGCUAACUACGUG
rnacentral:rRNA from 1 species